rnacentral:tRNA from 3 species
UCCCCGAUACGCUAACUGGUAAGCGGACGCACUGUUAAUGCGUUGUAGGCCCGACAGGGUUAUGCAGGUUCGAGUCCUGCUUGGGGAGCCA